GUCAUCCCUAUGUAUGCCAGUUUCUUCCCAUCAACUGCAAAAAGACUAGAAAACUAGCUCAGACUUGCAUGUCUAGAGGGGAGAGCUUCCAAAAUAUCUGAUAAGUGCACUUGAGUGUGAACAGGGUACAGGGGUUAAAGCUUAAGAAAGAGGUUAUAGUCAGCUCCAGGUAGAAGAUGAGGCAUAUCUGUGCAUCCUUCUGACUUGUAAGAUCCCACCACUAGAUCUCAGCCCUCUCUCAGGAUUAUUGGUGGGGAGCAAACAUAGCGCACGUGUUGCCCCAAAUAGCGCCCAGUCUACAAAAGCAAACAAAUAAAAACAGCAAGAAAAGGCUGAUGAAAUGGAAAUGGAGUGGAAGUUUUGCCAUGCUCAUUAGAAAAGGUCAAGGCUGGUGAAAUUGCCUGCCUACCAGCUUAAGCCAAGUUUUCCAGUAAUGGUGCCAUUCCUACUCUUGUUCAGGAUUAUGUUCCCAAAUGUGACACCUAAGAAGAAUUUUUAGGAAAUCCCAAAUGGAAAUACAAGGUUGUGCUCUCUGAAGACCACUCAUUAAAUCCAAAAUACGCAGGCUGUGAAUCUAUUGGCUCUGGACUGCACCUCCUGCAUCUGUCCGCAGGCAGCGGUGACUUGGCCCAGGACAACAAGGUUCCUAGACAUGUCAGCACAUCAGUAGCAGUAGAUCAGACAUCUGGUCUGGUCCUUCUUUCAUCCAGACAAAUCUUCCACAUGGAAACAUUUCUGCAAGACCAAUUGCAACACAAAUAGCAACUGCAGAUACUAGAGUUGCUGAAAACUAGUAGCCAGAAAAGGUUUCCCCACAUAAAGAUCACUGUUAAAUUCAGGCUCCAUACACAAAAGAAACACAGCUGUUGGCUAAGUCUACUGCUUAAUGAAAAAUAUCAUGCUGCAUUGAAGCCCUCUGAAGAAUAUUACCAAACUUAUCACACAGACUUUCUUCAUAGGUUUCUUCAGGUAAAAUGACAUUUUAGAAGGGACAGUAAAGCCAGACUAAGCAGAGAGAGAACAAUAUAAACACAAAAGAUAAAAGCAGAUCUGUGUGUACAUAUGAGAUAAAGUGAGAUGUCACCCUCAUAAUCAUCUCUCGUAACCAGAUGAUGCUCUAAGUCAGUCUGCAGAGUCAGUCAGCCUUUUGGACUCUGGGGUGUCUCUCUUGGAAGGAAGACCUGGGGAGGCAUUAGUUUGCUACAGUGCUGUCUAACUCUGAAGGAUAGACACAGAGGCCCUAUAUCCCUGCAUACCUGACAGCUCCAGUUACCUGCUUUUUUAUUAGAUGACCAAUAUUGCAGCUGGAUAGCAGUGGGUGUGUUACUGGAGAGGGGGAUGAGAAGGCAAACGCAGCGUUGACCCUUCAUAGGGCAGUCCAGGACUGUCUUGGUGUGUGACAGGGACUGUGCAUCCCCGCUUCACACUGCUGCCGCAUCUAGGCCUGAAACAGAUCUACGCACCCUCCUUUGGCUUUCCAAAUGACCCAUGUCUGGGGCAGAGGCUCCCAUUGCUUUGGUUGUCUGUGGAUUUCUGCAUAUCUGACCAGUGAAAGGCAGCUGGUACGCAGGGCACCAGCCUCAGGCAGGAUCCACCUGCCAGCCAGGUAAGGCAGCUACGCGCACCUCUCUUGAAAAUUAUGUUCUUACAAAGUCAAGACCAAAAAACCAGGAAUGCUGCUCAGGCAGAAUAAUCAAGGUGAAAGGACAACUUUAAAAAUAGGAAAAUAGCAAGAAAGCUAAGGAGUAUACCAGCAAGCAAAAUGUUCAGAAUAGAAAAUUAGGCAAUCAAGGUGGCAGAGCAAUCAGCUGAGGCCACAGCCAUGAUUGCCAGAAGGAGCCACACCACAAGGCUGAAGGGUCCAAGGCUCUCAGUGGAUGAGAACUGCCACGGCUCCACUCAGGCCAAACUAGGGACUUGCCCAUUCAUUCUUAAAUCCUACACACUGCACACUGAUGUUCAUCUGACAGCAUUUUUAAAGAUGAAAUCCCAGUUUUCUCCAUGUCUUUUAGAAAGGAAGUGUCAGGCUUUACACUAGUUUGUUACAAAAGACCAGGCAAAGCUUAAGAACUUAAGCAUUGAUAAAGAAAAGAAAUAAGCCUUGUUCAAGGGGCAUUUGUCUGCUUAGAAAUCAAGGGAAAAUCUCCAUGUUCUUAGUCCCUCCUUUGGAAUGUGUUGCUUUUUUUCCCUUAUAACUUUCUUGAAAGGAAGAUAAGAGAUUUUUAGGUGUUUUCUGCAGUGCUCUUUUUCAUGCAAAUGCUUCCUACAUUUAUUUUCUAUUUACUAAAGCAGGAUAUAAUUGCAGUUAUUGUUUGUUUAAACAGGAUAAAUAAAUACUGUACCAUGCAAUAUUAUGUAUACUAUAAACACUAUACUAUAGUAUACUAUAAAUAACAUAUCUAUUAUUUCCGUAGAACACAUAGGCAUCAUACCAUACCUUCAGCCCCAGGGGCUAGUUUCUAGCAGCUUGCUAUAAUUGUGUAGGAUGAGUGUUCAACAAGGGAAAGGGCCCCACAAAGGUGCGUUGAGUCCACUUGUAAUCAUGGCUUUUAUGAGCUGGUGGAGUUUUGACUGAUUGAACCAACUCUGAUGAGUUUUAGUGGUUAUGGGACCACUGAAUAGGCAGCACCUUUUCUCAAAGUCCAGAUUUUAUUAUAUAUUUGUAUUUUUAUGCAUUAUAUAUCACCAUGAUGCCAACAAAUCUGCAAUCCUCACUCCUUCACACGUUUCAGAAAUGAGCUGACCUGCACUUUACUCCUAGAGUCCCAAUGUUGUAGGAAUAAGAUGUAGUUUGGGAAGAAGCCAUAAAAAAGGCAACAAAGCAAGACCACAGCAGCUCUGUCUACUGAUUCCUACAAUGUUAUGCAGAUCUAAAUAAUAUUUAUCUUUUUAACUUGGUCAAAUUCUCUUUGAAAAAGUGAAUCUUAUGCACAAAGAAAUAUUGCUGUUCCAGUUACAUUGUUGUACAUGUCGAGAGAUAGAUCUCAUUUAUUAUUGUUUAGGCUUAUACAUUACUUAAUCCGUUUCAUCAAUAGCUGUGCCAGUGCACGCAGGAACAAAAAUAAAUCUUAAUGAACGCUACAAUGACAGAAAGCAGUUGUACUGAUAUGCGGGACAUGCUCCAAGCAAUGAAGAAUGACUGAGGGAAACCAGGCAGAACUGGCAAAUGCUUACUAACUGACCCAGUAAUGCUCUGUGAGGGUGUGGAAGAAGGCACCUCUACUAGAAAUGCACUAAUGGAAGGAAUUUCAGGGCUUCUUUGUGCUCCAGACAAGCCACACAAGCACUUUGGACUUAGACUGGGACAAAUUUACAGUGAUUUGCAGGAUCCUGCAGUGAGUCAGAGAUGGUUCACUAAUGAGCAUGGGACAGCAGGAUACAUUUCCCCCAUCACUGAAACACCCAACAUUUAACCGUGACUCUUCAGAGGCAGGAUAUUGCUUUACAUUUAAGAAUCCAGUUCAGUAAAGCACUUAAGCAGAUACUUGAUAGUAUACAGACAAAUCAAGUACACUUUGCUGCACAAGAAGGCUAAAUCUGCUCUGAACCAUGCUACAAGGUACUCCCCUCUCAGCAGCACAAAUACAACUGUUGUGCCUCCAGCUGCCAGCUCUUCUCCAUCCUCAGGGUUCACAAGAUUUCAUGUAAAGUCCAGUGCUAAAGCAUAAGCAUGAAAGUGAUCCCUUUGCAGAAGAUCAAAAAUCCAUCCUAGCUUGCCUUGCUUUAUUGCAUGCUGUCAUUCCUGUGAUUGCUCCUUCUGGCGCAGCUCCUUUGCCUUAAAUAGACCAACUCUGAAAGGGCAGUCAUUAGAGUCAGCAGUUUAUUUUGAAUGGAGAGAAGUACCAGGCAUUUCAGGAGCCCGACAGCUUCUUCUUUUCAACCCCACGAUCAAGACAAAUCUUCUGAGCACGUUUCUGUGCUGAACAUCUUUCUGGCUGAACUGAUGCUCCCAUCAUUUUCCUUUCAUGUUUCCAAUUAAAAGAAAGAAUUUUGCACAGGGCUUCCAGUAAUGACA